GACGAACGCUGGCGGCGUGCUUAACACAUGCAAGUCGAACGCUGAAGCUCAGCUUUUGUUGGGUGGAUGAGUGGCGAACGGGUGAGUAACACGUGAGUAACCUGCCUCCUUCUUUGGGAUAACGCCCGGAAACGGGUGCUAAUACUGGAUAUUCACUGGUCUUCGCAUGGGGGUUGGUGGAAAGGGUUUUUCUGGUGGGGGAUGGGCUCGCGGCCUAUCAGCUUGUUGGUGGGGUGAUGGCCUACCAAGGCUUUGACGGGUAGCCGGCCUGAGAGGGUGACCGGUCACAUUGGGACUGAGAUACGGCCCAGACUCCUACGGGAGGCAGCAGUGGGGAAUAUUGCACAAUGGGCGCAAGCCUGAUGCAGCGACGCCGCGUGAGGGAUGGAGGCCUUCGGGUUGUGAACCUCUUUCGCUCAUGGUCAAGCCGCAACAAUGGCUGUGGUGAGGGUAGUGGGUAAAGAAGCGCCGGCUAACUACGUG
rnacentral:rRNA from 1 species